AGAGUUUGAUCCUGGCUCAGAAUCAACGCUGGCGGCGUGCCUAACACAUGCAAGUCGAACGAGAAAGUGGUAGCAAUACCAUGAGUAAAGUGGCGCACGGGUGAGUAACACGUGACUAACCUACCCUUGAGUGGGGGAUAACUGAGGGAAACCUUAGCUAAUACCGCAUAAUACCCACGGGUCAAAGGAGCAAUUCGCUCGAGGAGGGGGUCGCGGCCGAUUAGUUAGUUGGCGGGGUAAUGGCCCACCAAGACGAUGAUCGGUAUCCGGCCUGAGAGGGCGCACGGACACACUGGAACUGAAACACGGUCCAGACUCCUACGGGAGGCAGCAGUGGGGAAUUUUGCGCAAUGGGGGAAACCCUGACGCAGCAACGCCGCGUGGAGGA
rnacentral:rRNA from 1 species